rnacentral:rRNA from 1 species
AACGUAGGACGCAAGCGUUAUCCGGAGUUACUGGGCGUAAAGCGCGGGCAGGCGGUCUUGCCAGUCUGAUGUGAAAUCUCCCCGCUCAACGGGGAGCAGCCAUUGGAAACUACAAGACUGGAGUCUGACAGAGGUAGGCGGAACUCCGGGUGGAGUGGUGAAAUGCGUAGAGAUCCGGAGGAACACCAGAGGCGAAGGCGGCCUACUGGGUCAGUACUGACGCUGAGCCGCGAAAGCCAGGGGAGCGAACGGG